GACGAACGCUGGCGGCGUGCUUAACACAUGCAAGUCGCGCGAGAAAACGGGGGCAACUCCGUGAGUAAAGCGGCGCACGGGUGAGUAAUACGUAGGUAACCUACCUUCGAGUUCGGGAUAACCUUCCGAAAGGAGGGCUAAUACCGGCUAAGACCACGGGGCCUCGCCCUGAGGUUAAAGAUGGCCUCUGCUUGCAAGCAAUCGCUCGAAGAUGGGGCCUGCGCACCAUUAGCUAGNGGCGGGGUAACGGCCACCAGGCAAGAUGGUUAGCUGGUCUGAGAGGAUGGCAGCCACACUGGGACUGAGACACGGCCCAGACUCCUACGGGAGGCAGCAGUGGGGAAUCUUGGACAAUGGGGAAACCCUNAUCCAGCGACGCCGCGUGUGGGAUGAAGCUCUUCGGAGU
rnacentral:rRNA from 1 species